CUCAGCCCGAUUCCAAAAGCCCAGGGGGUGGGCCUCGCCCUUCCUCUCCCUCCAGGUUUAAUUAUCUGAAGAGUCUUGGACUUUCAUUUCUUGUUUUUUGCUCGUUUGCUUGUUUGUUUGCACCUGGUUGAUGUAUAAGUCUUGGACUUUGGGAGACCCAAAGAGAAAGAAGGUGUUGGCAAUAUCCUUGAAGAGACUAAAAGAACUCAGAACAACACUGAACAAGCCAGCAGAGCCAUCAACUCACCCCUACAGUCUCCAUAGACAGACUCCAUGAAAGCAUUGGCCAUCGGCUCUCACUGGUUUCUGCCCCAAAUUCACACACUCCCUCCUAUCACCAAAGCCACCCGCCACCGCUGGCCUCCUGCAUGCUGUGGGAGGAGAGGAGGGCAGACAACGUUGCCUCCCCUGACUCCCAUCGUGCGGGCUUGUGAGUCCAUGGAGCACAGAUGUCCAGGGAACUAUCUGAUGCAGCAUGAGGGGAAGGUGAUGCAGCGGCAUCCCACCUUGAGAUGAGAGAAAGCUGUUCUGGGCUUCCAGUGAUUGGCAACUGAGGUCACUCCUUUGCCCAUACCCCCGCCCCGAGACUGUUUCCAGUGCCCCAAGUUCACCUCAAGGAUCAUUGCACAGCAGAAAUGGAAGAAGGCCACCAGCCAAGAAAUGCUGUCAGUGCCUGGAAGCUGGAAAGGCAAUGAAAUGGAUUUUCCCCAGAACCUCCAGGGAGAAUAUGGCACAGCCUCUACCUUGAUUUUCACCCAGUGAGACACAUUUUGGAUUUCUGACCUACAGAAUUGUAAGGCUGCCUGGAUCCCCAGAGUUUGUCUGGAAAGCCUCUUGAGAUGGGGUUAUGUGCUCCGAGGAUCCCAGGAGGAAGGAUGGGGCAACAGCAGACAAACCUAUGCCUCUGCAGCAGCUGUACCGUUGUCCUGGGAGUGAGCCCCAGCCGUGGCUCAAGGCACACGUGCCUCCAGAGGACAAUCUGGGAUGCUCAGGGGACAGAGAGGCAGAGGGACUAUCAGGGUGAAGCUGUCUUUUUCACUUGUUUGGCACUCAGCCCAGGGCCUGGAUUUAUCCUGCACAAAAUGAACAGUGCAGGGCCCUUCAUCUGGGGAAAG
rnacentral:lncRNA from 1 species